rnacentral:rRNA from 1 species
AACGAACGCUGGCGGCGCGCCUAAUACAUGCAAGUCGAGCGAGAAGACGUAGCAAUACGUUUGUAAAGCGGCGAACGGGUGAGGAAUACAUGGGUAACCUACCCUCGAGUGGGGAAUAACUAGCCGAAAGGUUAGCUAAUACCGCGUACGCUCCUUGGACUUCGGUUCAGGGAGGAAAGCGAUACCGUGGGUAUCGCGCUCUUGGAUGGGCUCAUGUCCUAUCAGCUUGUUGGGAGGUAACGGCUCACCAAGGCUUCGACGGGUAGCUGGUCUGAGAGGACGAUCAGCCACACUGGCACUGCGACACGGGCCAGACUCCUACGGAGGCAGCAGUAAGGAAUAUUGCGCAAUGGGCGAAAGCCUGACGCAGCGACGCCGCGUGGGGGAUGAAGGUCUUCGGAUUGU